GCCCUAGCGAAUUAUAAAUAAGAAGAAAAGGAAUAAAAACCUCAAAGUAUAUUGAUCAGAGUGCUGAAAAGAACUUUCAUUCUUCAAGUUUUCUGGUGUUUAAAAGCCAUAUCAAGGUGUUGCUUCCUUCUUCCCUCCCGCUGCCCACCCACUCUUCAACAGUUAUACCAGAGACAGAAAUAUCAAGUACUGGAAAAGGCAAAAUAUCUCUUCUUUACAAAAGUUAACCAAGAAGAGAAUUGCAUACUACUGCAUGGAACAGAUCCUUCCUCCCUUCUGAGACCGACAAGAAAAUCGCAUAAAGGAGUACUAGUUAAG